rnacentral:rRNA from 1 species
AUACGGAGGAUCCGAGCGUUAUCCGGAUUUAUUGGGUUUAAAGGGUGCGCAGGCGGCCAUUUAAGUCAGCGGUUAAAUCGUGGGGCUCAACCCCAUUCUGCCGUUGAUACUGGGUGGCUUGAUUGCGGUCGAGGUUGGCGGAAUUCGUUGUGUAGCGGGGAAAUGCAUAGAUAUGACGAAGAACAACGAUUGCGUAGGCAGCUGACCAGACCGCAAAUGACGCUCAUGCACGAAAGUGCGGGGAUCGAACAGGAUUAGAUACCCUGGUAGUCCGCACAGUAAACGAUGAAUACUUGUUUUCGGCGAUAUAAUGUCGGAGGCAAAGCGAAAGCGAUAAGUAUUCCGCCUGGGGAGUACGCCGGCAACGGUGAAACUCAAAGGAAUUGACGGGG